ACAAAAAACUUUGAGCUCAUUGUCAGACCAAAACAUAUAGCCAUGUCGUGUGCAUUUUUUUGGCAAAACGUUGGUACUUCAAAUUUUAAAUCGUGUUCACACUAUUAAUUUCACAUUGUUAUUUAAAAUUUAGUGAGUGUCCUUCUGGGUGCCGAGGAGAAACUUUGAGCUUAUUGGCAUAUUAAUUCAUGCAAGUGGAUCCUAUAUACCUGUGCAGAUGGAUUUUGUAAAAAAAAGUAUUUAAAUUUCAACCUUGCGUUCACCCUACAAAAAAAUCAUUGAAUCAUUUGAAAUUUCUUGGGCGGUUCUCCACCUAGGUCUCACACACUUGUACAAAUGCUCUCCGUAAAAUUCAACCUCGCGUUGACACCAUCAAACUUUUCACGAAAUUACCAGGAACUUUCAAAGAUGACUGCAUGCAUACAGGAUCAACAUUGUGCAUUUUGGUGGGUCCAUAUGCGCAUGUAGGUCCCGCGAGUGUGCUCCACCUACGAAUUCCAUUUGAUUCUUCGGUGAUAGUGAAGAAUUGAUUUGGUCACAUGGGUUUUGACAUAUUCUGGCUUAAAGGAAUUGGUUGGAGUUUGGCUCCUUAACAACACAGUUUAGUGCCAACUAAGGAAAAAUAAUAAUCAUGAAUUGUAUGCUGCAAAAAAUUGCAUGUGGAGAAUAAUUUAGAAGUCCAGAGUACUAGACCACCAACCUCUUAACCUCUACUUGUGUGCAUAAUGUUUUCUUAUAUAUACCACAGAAACCUUCACUUACGUGAACAAGGAUAACUUCUGAUAUAUGUACCACUUCGUGUUCAAUAGACUAGCUUGCCUUCUAUAUUUUAAUGUGUUGGCAGCAUCAACUAAUUUAUUUCAUUAAAUAGGUAAAGGGAGUGUUAGAGAAGAGUGGAAAUCAUAUGAGAAAACCUAGGAAUAUGAGACAUCAGGAGCAAUGGCUGAACUAGCUGUCUUGGGACCAGACCAAGCUGAAUGGAACCUCUGUGUCAUCCGUGAUCAUAUCGCUGAUGCUAGAUAGACCGAUGGUUCUAGUUAUCCUGUCCCUAACAAAGUCCGUUUCUUAGGAUGCCUGCUGCACUUUGAUGGGCAAAAAUGAUGAGAUGCUCUUACGAGCAUGUAAAGUGUUGAGAAGUGUGGCAGGAGACAAGUGACGAGCAGGCCAUCAUGGAAGGUCGUCAUUAUGUUCCUCGUUGUCAUGCAAAAGCAUGGAUACAUUAAUUGGUGAAUCUGAGUAUGUCGAUGAUCACAGGUCUGGUAUGACAGUUGUGAAGCUGAAUGGAAGAUUGUACAAGUGUGGUGUCAUCGGUCACCCUUGGACCUUGGAGAGUCCUGGACUGUAAGGCUGCUCUCCUCAUCUCAGGUUAGCCUGUAAAAAAUAAGCCAGGAACCUAUGUGUUGUCAAACUUUUCAGCAGUGUUUUCUGAGGGGUUGAUUUUGUGUGGAUCAUUCUUACGCAUCUGCUGGUAUGAUGGAUCAUGAGGAAGCAAGAAUGUGCGAGAGAAAGUUCAGAUUUUUUCUAUUUUUCUUUUGAGAAACGGUUUUUUUCUACUAGGAGACAGAAAGAUUUCGCUGCCAUUGGCUCACUUGGUCUGUCUGCUACCGUUGGCUCCAGAAACUCAC